ensembl:snRNA U6 U6 spliceosomal RNA
AUGUUCGUUUAGCAGCGCAAGUAAUACAACUGAAAAAAAUGAGAAAAGAUUAGCAUGGUACUUUAGAAAGAUGACAUGCAACUUCAUGAAGAGUUUUGUUAUUUG